UUUCUUUCGAUUUCAACAGAAAACGUGCCAAAAAUUUUGGCUGCCAGUUGCACGUUCAACAAAUUUAAUACAGUUCAAGUGGGUUUGGCUUUGGCUUUGGCUUUGGCAUGGCUCGACCUGGUCUGGUCUGCUCUAUGCCGCUGACUGUGAGCUCUUGACACACAUCUCUGAGCAGCUGAACAUAGCCUUAUCAGGGUCUUAUCAGCUGGUGGGAUGGGAGAACCUAAAACACAGACAGGCAACAAGACAGAGCGACACCCUGGGCAGCAAUCAAUGUCAGGGCGCAGUUUCAGUUGAGUUUAGCAUCUCUCAGAGAAAUGUUCGCCGCCUUGAAUCUCUGGUUUAUUUUUUUUAUAUUUGAUUGGCCUGAUUCAAGGCCGUUCCAUUGUGGGCGAAAGCCAGGAGUCUUCAAAGUAUAUUUCUCAGGCUCAACCAGAUUCCACAAUCUUUGAGUACUCCCCGACUGAAAGGCAAGAUUUCUUUGACGAUGAUGCUUGGAUGAAUCGUUUUUAAUGUGAACUCAAAUUAUAUUAAAUAAAUUUCGAUGGAUUGGUCUC